GUCUACGACCAUGCCACCCUGAACAAGCCCGACCCCGUCUGAUCUCUGAAGCUACGCAGGGUCAGGCCUGGUUAGUACUUGGAUGGGAGACCACAUAGGAAGGCCAGGUGCUAUAGGCA
rnacentral:rRNA from 1 species